rnacentral:lncRNA from 1 species
UUCCUUUUGUCACAGUUGCUUCUGCACGCAUCAAGGACAUUAAGAUGGCGGUAGAACUGCUGUGUGCUGGUCCCGAGGUUAUCCCCCUUCCCUCCUCCUUCUCUCUUUCUCUCUCUCUCUUUUUUAAUGGCAUUGAUGUUCCAAGGAUACUAAAGGGCUUCUGUCCUCUCCCUUUAUGUCAUUGCCAUACCAGAAUCUUUUUGCUUCCCUUUAGCAGCAAGUAGUUGAUUCCUAUUAGGCUAAAAAGUGUGAAAAGCAAAAACUCAUGGAGCCAGAGGGCUCCUAGAUCUGUAA